ACCUUCCCUAGGUGGAUCGGGCCCAACUACCUGGGGCUGAGAGCAGGGUGUGCGUGUAGGAUCGGCCCGUCCGACUGUAGCCCGUGUUGGCUUGAGAGGUGACAGGCAGGCUCGGGACGCAGGGCUUUCUCCUGAGUAAACCUGGCUAAGGGGGGGGGGAAGUGUGCCAGGUAAAGUUCUUGCUUACUUAAGAGUAAACCCUACAGCAUCGGAUGGGUGUGUGUGUGUCUUACUGCUGGAGGACGACGUGCGUAAGAGCCAGUGAGCAAGAAGGUUGCAAAGAUUAAGUGGAUAAUGGGUUAUCUUUUCUUCAAGAAAACACAUACACACAGCAUCCUAUGGAUCAAUUCAGUGGGUUCCUCUUUGAAUUAAGAGCGGACUGGUGUAUUUUAUAAAAAAUGUUAAUUUAAGGUGUCUAUGAAUUGGAACUGUAGACUGCCAGCAUCGCCCUAGAAGAGGCAUUCUGUCAAACAGGAGUGAAUGUCUCUCCUCCAUUCAUGGCACAUGGGCACCGUGGUGCUGGGAAGCCCCUUGGGGGAUUCUGGGAAUUGUAGUAUUAAAACAAUCAUUUUGUGCCUUAGUGCCAAAAGUUUACCCUUGCUUUUCCUGCUUGAGUACUCUUAGUUGUAUGGGGGAGAUAAAUUGAUGUAUUGAUGUAUUUGUUUAUUUACUCCUUCCUUCCUUGACCCUAUGCCAGCAAAAGUCUUAGGCUUGAUUACCUACUGAUUUCCCUCGAAUUGCCUUAACUGCAUUGGUGGACGAAUGAAACGACAGCUGGACCCUAGUCCAGGAGAAAUUUGUGAAUGCAUUUCAGAUUUCCUGGUGGUUUCUCUUAAAUAGAUAAUGCAAUUAACGGGGCAUUUUUCUACAGCAAUACUGAUGUGGUUUUGGAAAACCUGCACCCCCCCUUAUUUUUUUUAAUGAUUUACUUUAUUUAAAUCUUGCCAUUUCCUGUCUUACUGUAGAGAGAGAAAGUUGCUCGAGGUUGCCUGCUAAGUUUUGGACCGAGUCGUAUUCAUCGUAGUGGUUCGUUAUUUUUAAAAAUGAAAUCAAACCCCCAGCUUUCAGAAACGAACACACGCAAGGCAGCUUAUACACAACGAUAGGUGUUACUUCAAAUUAGUUUCUGGGCACUGUCUCUUGAUCCCAGUGUGGCAGAACCAAGAGACCAACCCAGGGCAGAGCUAUGCAAAUUAGGAGCAGCCUCAAUUGUCAUUGGCUCUCGUUACCAUCUGUCAGGAGCAAAUAAAAAUCAACAAAACUUCA
rnacentral:lncRNA from 1 species